GGAUACGAUGGGCCAGGAGGCGGGGAAAUACGCAGGGUGGGGGCGGUAAACGGGAGUACUGGGCGGAAAGCGGGACCAGGCGGGUUUGGGAGACAGGCGUGGAAGCCCCGGGCUUAACCUGGGAACUGAGUUUGUGACGGCAAGACUAGAGUACGGCAGAGGGGGGUGGAAUUCCACGUGUAGCAGUGAAAUGCGUGGAGAUGUGGAGGAACACCAAUGGCGAAGGCAGCCCCCUGGGUCGAUACUGACGCUCAUGCACGAAAGCGUGGGUAGCAAACAGGAUUAGAUUCCCGGGUAGUC
rnacentral:rRNA from 1 species